AUUUGAUGCUGUGGGCAUCUAGUGCACAAUUUAUUGAACCUUUCCCAAUAGUUAUAUAGGGAUUCUCUAGAAUACUGCUUAAUGUUGCAAAUCUCUUUUGUCAGACU